rnacentral:rRNA from 1 species
CACGUAGGGCGCAAGCGUUGUCCGGAAUUAUUGGGCGUAAAGAGCUCGUAGGCGGUCUGUUGCGUCCGCUGUGAAAACUCGGGGCUUAACCCCGAGCCUGCAGUGGAUACGGGCAGACUAGAGGUAGGUAGGGGAGAAUGGAAUUCCCGGUGUAGCGGUGAAAUGCGCAGAUAUCGGAAGGAACACCUGUGGCGAAAGCGGCUCACUGGACCAUUACUGACGCUGAUGCACGAAAGCUAGGGGAGCAAACAGG